CUACGGGUGGCUGCAGUGGGGAAUAUUGCACAAUGUGCUCAAUCCUUAUUCAUCCAUGCCGCGUGUAUGAAGAAGGCCUUCGGGUUGUAAAGUACUUUCAGCGGGGAGGAAGGGAGUAAAGUUAAUACCUUUGCUCAUUGACGUUACCCGCAGAAGAAGCACCGGCUAACUCCGUGCCAGCAGCCGCGGUAAUACGGAGGGUGCAAGCGUUAAUCGGAAUUACUGGGCGUAAAGCGCACGCAGGCGGUUUGUUAAGUCAGAUGUGAAAUCCCCGGGCUCAACCUGGGAACUGCAUCUGAUACUGGCAAGCUUGAGUCUCGUAGAGGGGGGUAGAAUUCCAGGUGUAGCGGUGAAAUGCGUAGAGAUCUGGAGGAAUACCGGUGGCGAAGGUGGCCCCCUGGACGAAGACUGACGCUCAGGUGCGAAAGCGUGGGGAGCAAACAGGAUUAGAUACCCGAGUAGUC
rnacentral:rRNA from 1 species